GCAGGGGCAAGAUGUUGGCGGGUAGACCGACAGCAAGCAGACCACCGGAUAUGCAACAACGACUAGUGGAGAUGGCUCGGCGGAAGGCUACUGUGGGCAUCACUCAAAGAGGGGGUCCUGAUGCGAUGUGUAGGGCAGCAAUGGCGCGACAGCUUCAUGGGCAGCUUGCGGAGCGGUUGCUGUGGUGCAAGUGCGGUGAGUGCAAGAGGUCGACGAGGAGGCACAGUGGCCGGCAGAGGCAACAAUAGACGCGGCUACAGGCGAGCAAGUGAAGGCGUUGAAGAUGGAGGACCGCUCUUAAGUCCUGGCAUCGACAAUGGAGCUCGAGUGGACCAGCAAGCAGUGAUGGAUUCAUAGAGAAAAACCAAGUAGAUCACGGCUGGCAGCGAGAUGGUGGCAACUUCACAGAUUGCUAAUACCGCAGCGGUGCUGAUGCAAUGACCAGCGCAAUGGUGCAACGCGGAGGCUUCAUGGGCGUUGCGGACGGUGACCAGCGGGGCGUGGACAGCAACGACGAAGGCAUGUUGAGGCAAGGGCACGGCAAAAUGACGGCGGCUACCGGCUCACGGAUAGCAAGGAGCACUGGCGGAAGCUGCGAAGAAGAAGAGCAAUAGUUCUUAUUUUCCCUCUGCUUUUUCGUCACUUCCCUCUCUGUCUAUUCUCUCUCACGCUGGCUUUUUCCCCUUUUCCCCCCUAUGCACGUCGCUUCUCUCUUACUACACGUUGCUAUCUUCUCUGCUGUCAACAGAAGAAAGUGCAGCAGAUGCCUCUUUCUUUUUCCUUUCUUUAGCAAAAGAAAAACCUUCCUUACUCCUACAAAACCCUUUAAAAUGAAGGGAAACCUUUCUCUUUUUGAGUUGAAUUUUUACCAAGUGAUCGAGAGAAAAAGCCCCCGAACCCUACGCAUUCAACAUAUUUGUAGGCCACGAAUUAGGGUUUUAAUUUUCCCAAAUCGAUAUCCACAAAGAUUCUUUUUCCAAACGCAAUAUUUGUUUUGAUGAACGCAAUAUUUGCUUUUCCACGUGCCCUAUUCAAAAAAAUUCAUCAUAUCCCGAAAAAUUUCAAAUUUCUAUUUUUCUCGAGAUAAUCUUUGAUUAUUAAAAAAAAGGGCUUGUGCCAAUUUGCUCGUUUCGUGGGCUUAGUCCGGCCUGUCAAUUUAAAGCUCAGAACCACUAAUUCGAACGCAUCAGCCACUGGUCCAAUAAAUAAAUGUAAAAAAAAUGCAAAUGCACCUAAAUCUAUAUGCUAUGCAAUUAAUUAUUUUUUCAAGGAUAAAAUUAAACCCUAAUUUUUUAAUGCAAUAAAUGACUAAUCAGGUCGGCAAAAUUUAGGUGUCAACAAUCAUCACAACAAAAAGAAGGUUCUCGAUUCUAAAGAAAAAUAUAAUAAAAGAAAAAAAAAUUGCAUCCCCUUUCUUCGCAGUCAUAUCACAACUUCCACAUGACUAAUCCUGUUUUUAGAUUUUGAGAGAGAUUAUUCUUAUUUAGAUUAUAAUUGUUAGAAGAAAAUUUAGAACAAAUCAAUGCACCAUAUAAAUAUAAAUACUUCUUCCUUUCUAGUAAAUUGUAAAAAAAUUACACAUAACAUUGACAACAUUAGCCUUACCUCAAAAGUUUUUGAAAGUGAUCAUUCCAAGAGAUUUGGCCAAUGCAGAUGACAAUGGCAUCUGCAAAACGAUCAAAGUGGAUGAGCUAGGGCACGGGAAAAAGAUGUUGGGAAUAAAGCAUACAACAGAAGCUGAAAAUGCAGAGGAAUAUGAUUGUGGAAUGCCAUUGAUUUUCGUGAUUCUUUUGUAUUUGAAUAAAGAAGGAUGAACUAUAACUAAUACAACGUUCUCACAAAAUAGAUUGUCUUACAAAAUAAUUUACCGUGCUACAACAUUCUUUUGCAAAUGAUUAAAUCAUUUUAGUGUGCAAGGGAAAGCUGAUUUCGGUGGCAAUAGAGUAUCAAACUUCCAGGGGCACAACAAAUGAACCUAUUGCUAUAACAAAAUGUGCAAAGAAUCAUAAAUUACAUUAGGACUGCAAUCCCAACUCAGUUCUUAAGCUAUUGCAAAUGAUACUGCAUGCUUGAUGUCAAAAGUUAAG
rnacentral:lncRNA from 1 species